GCUCUUGUGGCGCAAUGGUAGCGCGUCAGACUUCUAAUCUGAAGGUUCUGGGUUCGAGUCCCCGCAGGAGCU
rnacentral:tRNA from 1 species